rnacentral:rRNA from 1 species
GAUGAACGCUGGCGGCGUGCUUAACACAUGCAAGUCGAACGAGAAAUGGAGACGGAAACCUUCGGGCGGAAGGCUUCAUUUCGAGUGGCGGACGGGUGAGUAACGCGUGGGUAACCUGCCUCAUACAGGGGGAUAACAGUUGGAAACGACUGUUAAUACCGCAUAAGACCACCGCACCGCAUGGUGCGGGGGUAAGAACUCCGGUGGUAUGAGAUGGACCCGCGUUCGAUUAGCCAGUUGGCGGGGUAACGGCCCACCAAAGCGACGAUCGAUAGCCGAUCUGAGAGGAUGACCGGCCACAUUGGGACUGAGACACGGCCCAAACUCCUACGGGAGGCAGCAGUGGGGAAUAUUGCACAAUGGGGGAAACCCUGAUGCAGCGACGCCGCGUGAGUGAAGAAGUACUUCGGUAUGUAAAGCUCUAUCAGCAGGGAAGAAAAUGACGGUACCUGAGUAAGAAGCCCCGGCUAACUACGUG